UCUACUUCUCUCUAGUCCUAAUUGAUGCUCUCUGAUUUUCUCAUUUCCCUCUACACCUACUCCGGACCCCAGACACCGCGCGGAUUCUUCAUUCUCUCCCUGCCUGAGCAAGAAACCAUUCUCGCGCGACACAACCAGGGUCCUAGAUCUGCCACUGUCUACAACCACCACAAGUCACCGGCAGCGCUGUCUACUACAACUCACAACAAUAUCUACCAUAACAGCAUUACAUUAUUCAUUUAUUGGUUUAUGAGAUGAGGCAGAUGAAGCCGUUGCAGUUGUUUCAUGAUUUGGUGAAGACGACACAGAAAGAACGAGGAAGGUUGAUUGGUUUAGAUGUUGGCGAUAAAUAUGUUGGCCUUGCGCUUUCUGACUUUGAUAACAAAAUUGCUUCACCUUUCAGUGUUCUUGUCAGGAAGAAGACAAACAUUAAUUUAAUGGCUGCUGAUUUUAAGAGUCUGGUCUCCAAAUACUCCUUGAAGGGCUUUGUUAUUGGCCUCCCUUUUGACAGACAUUUGGUGUCUUCUGAUGCUGUGAAAGUGAAGGUCUUCAUUGAUAACCUCCGUAGAACAAACAUGUUCGACGGUCUGAAGUAUACAUAUUGGAAUGAGUGCUUCACAUCAAAGAAUGUAGAAAUAUUGAUAAAGCCUUUGAAUUUGAAUCAUCCAGUUCAUUCCAAAACUAUGCUAGACAAGUUUGCUGCUGUAGGAAUACUUCAGGGGUACCUCGACUACGUUAACAGAAAAGCAAGGCUGAUAGCACCAGAGUAAGACUUCUUAAUAGUGUAGAGGCAUUCACCAGAAAUCAGAUCUAGAAACAUCUGAAUUUAAAGGUCAUGCACCUAAGUGAAAAGAAAAGUUGACUUAGUGGAAGAUCAAGCUUUAAACCUCACAAUCACAUUCAUAUUUUAAAGACAUGAGCUGGAGUGAGUUGACAUGUAAGCUCCGUGAUCAGUAGAUUCAUUAGUUAGUUCCAUUUGUAAACAGAAGAUUUUGAUCAAACAAUGAAAGGCAUUGGAAAAUAUGAUGGUGUAGAAAAAGUCAUCGAAGCAGAAAAUACUUUUAUAUGUGAGGGGCAUCCACUUAUUUCAAGAAACUGACUUUUUUCUUCUUCUUCUUGUAACUCCAAUCUAUAAAAGAGUGUUCUACUAUGCACUUCCACACUUAAA